rnacentral:rRNA from 1 species
UUCGCAAUGCCCGAAAGGGUGACGAAGCGACGCCGCGUGGGUGAAGAAGGCCUUAGGGUUGUAAAGCCCUGUCGGGAGUUAUGAAAUGUAAAUGCGUUAAUAUCGUGUUUAUUUGACAAAGGCCCCAAAGGAAGCCACGGCUAACUCUGUGCCAGCAGCCGCGGUAAUACAGAGGUGGCGAGCGUUGUUCGGUAUUAUUGGGCGUAAAGAGCACGUAGGUGGUUUUGUAAGUCAGAUGUGAAAGCCUUCUGUUCAAAGGAAGAACGGCAUCUGAAACUACGAAUCUUGAGUGUAGGAGGGGAGAAUGGAACUUCUGGUGGAGCGGUGAAAUGCGUAGAUAUCAGAAGGAACGUCGGCGGCGAAAGCGACUCUCUGGCCUAUUACUGACACUCAGUGUGCGAAAGUUAGGGGAGCAAACGGGAUUAGAUACCCCGGUAGUCCUAGCCGUAAACGAUGGGCACUAAGUAGAGGGGUUUU